rnacentral:rRNA from 1 species
AUUGAACGCUGGCGGCAGGCCUAACACAUGCAAGUCGAGCGGGGGUAGCAAUACCCUAGCGGCGAACGGGUGAGGAAUGCUUGGGAAUCUGCCUCGUAGUGGGGGAUAACGUUCCGAAAGGAACGCUAAUACCGCAUACGUCCUACGGGAGAAAGGGGGGAGUCUUCGGACCUCUCGCUAUGAGAUGAGCCCAAGCGGGAUUAGCUAGUUGGUGAGGUAAAGGCUCACCAAGGCUACGAUCCCUAGCUGGUCUGAGAGGAUGAUCAGCCACACUGGAACUGAGACACGGUCCAGACUUCUACGGGAGGCAGCAGUGGGGAAUAUUGGACAAUGGGCGAAAGCCUGAUCCAGCCAUGCCGCGUGUGUGAUGAAGGCCUUAGGGUUGUAAAGCUCUUUUACCCGAGAUGAUAAUGACAGUAUCGGGAGAAUAAGCUCCGGCUAACUCCGUGCCAGCAGCCGCGGU